AUGUCAUGUUAUGGGCAUUUCCUCAAAAUGUCCUUGUACUUCUCCCAAGUGUCAUACAAGGUUUCAGUCUCUAACUGUCGAUAGGAGGAAAUGUCACUUCUGAGCUC